GGGUGGGGGUUCUUGGGUUUCCUAGUUUCUAUUUUGUGAGAGAGAAAAAUAAAAAAAAUUUAUUUUUCUUCUUUUACACCAUCUCUUUCUUGAAAAUCUUUUUUUUUUCUGAUCUAGAGAUAUCUGUUUGAUCUAAAGAAAGGAGUCUCCAUCAGCCAUCUAGAUUCUUCAUCACAAGCAAGCACUCCAAAAAAGAAUG
rnacentral:lncRNA from 1 species